AUACGGAGGAUCCGAGCGUUAUCCGGAUUUAUUGGGUUUAAAGGGUGCGCAGGCGGCCAUUUAAGUCAGCGGUUAAAUCGUGGGGCUCAACCCCAUUCUGCCGUUGAUACUGGGUGGCUUGAUUGCUGUCGAGGUUGGCGGAAUUCGUUGUGUAGCGGUGAAAUGCAUAGAUAUGACGAAGAACACCGAUUGCGUAGGCAGCUGACCAGACCGCAAAUGACGCUCAUGCACGAAAGUGCGGGGAUCGAACAGGAUUAGAUACCCUGGUAGUCCGCACAGUAAACGAUGAAUACUUGUUUUCGGCGAUAUAAUGUCGGAGGCAAAGCGAAAGCGAUAAGUAUUCCACCUGGGGAGUACGCCGGCAACGGUGAAACUCAAAGGAAUUGACGGGG
rnacentral:rRNA from 1 species